UACGAAGGGGGCGAGCGUUAUUCGGAUUUACUGGGCGUAAAGGGCGCGCAGGCGGCCAUCCAAGUCAGGCGUGAAAGCCCCGGGCUCAACCUGGGAAUGGCGCCUGGGACUGGGUGGCUUGAGAUCGGGAGAGGGGCGUGGAAUUCCCAGUGUAGAGGUGAAAUUCGUAGAUAUUGGGAAGAACACCGGUGGCGAAGGCGGCGCUCUGGACCGAGACUGACGUUGAGGCGCGAAAGCGUGGGGAGCAAACAGG
rnacentral:rRNA from 1 species